rnacentral:lncRNA from 1 species
CUAUAUGUUGUGGAGCUCAACACUAUUCACCCUAAGAUGAAAGAUUGAUUAAAUUCCAUAUAUAUAUGCAUUGGAAUUUAAUCAGAUUUAAUUCAGAUUAAACUCUAAUUAUAUGUAUUAGAGUUUGAUUUGGUUAAUUGAACUUUAAAUGUAUGUAAUAAAGUCCAAUAGAGUUUGAUUUGAGCUUUCAUCCUAAAUAUAUGUGUUAGGAUUAGCCCCAAAUAUCUUGAAUUAGACUCUAAUUUUAUAUUUUAGAGUCUGAUACAAUUAGGCUCUAAGUUUAUGUAUUAGAGCUUAGUCACAUUUGAUUUUGGUUCAUCUCAAGGUGAAAUAUUAACUAAAUCCUAAUUAUAUGUAUUAGGAUUAGUCAGAUUUGAUUUAAAUUAAACUCCAAGUGUAUGUAUUGGAAUCCAACAAAUUAAUUUGAUCAGAUGGUUUGAUCAAUUCUAAAUAUAGGUUUAGAAUUUGAUCAAGUUUGAACAUGAUUGUGAUUUGACUCUAGUUUUAUAUGCUAGAGAAUCGAAUAUUUUGGGAAUUGGGAUGUUCGUGAAAAUUGAACUUGAGUUUAGUUUAACGACAUUUCGGUCGAUAUCGGAUUUAGGUUUAGUUUAACGACGUUUCGGUCGAUUGAUUUGGUGGAUUAGUUUAACGACGUUUCGGUCGUAGGUUUGGUGGAUUUGUUUAACGACGUUUCGGUUGAUUGAUUUGGUGGAUUAGUUUAACGACGUUUCGGUCGAAGGUUUGGGUUUGGUUUACAAGGUUUAUGGUAUUGGGUAUAUGGGAUUAUGGUUCAUGAACUUAGAUAUGGUUCAUGGACUUAUGGACUUAUGGUUCAUGGG